rnacentral:rRNA from 1 species
GAUCCUGGCUCAGAAUGAACGUUGGCGGCGUGGAUUAGGCAUGCAAGUCGUACGCAUAGCUUCGGCUAUGAGUGGCGCAAGGGUGAGUAAUGCGAAGGUAACCAACCCUGGUGUUGGGCAUAGCCGCGGGAAACUGCGGGUAAUUCCCAGCGACGUCACGAGAUGGCAUCAUCUUGUGACCAAAGGUGUGAUUCCGCUCUAGGACGGGCCUUCGUGGUAUUAGGUAGUUGGUGAGGUAACGGCUCACCAAGCCGACGAUGCCUACCGGGUGUGAGAGCAUGACCCGGCACACUGGAACUGAGACACUGUCCAGACACCUACGGGUGGCUGCAGUCGAGAAUCUUCGGCAAUGGGCGAAAGCCUGACCGAGCGACGCCGCGUGAGGGAUUGAAGGCCUUCGGGUUGUAAACCUCUUUCGUAGAGGAGGAAGGGGCCGUGAAGAACGGUCUUUGACCUAUUCUAGGAAGAAGCUUGGGCUAAGUUCGUG